AAGAGCCGUGUGAUGGGAGACUAUCAAGCACGGUUCUGUGAGAGGCUGAAGGGGAAGUUCCUUCGGCCUACUCGAC
rfam:Bacteroidetes bacterium GWF2_43_11 gwf2_scaffold_6227, whole genome shotgun sequence.